rnacentral:rRNA from 1 species
CAGUAGCCGCGGUAAUACGCAGGGGGCUAGCGUUGCUCGGAAUUACUGGGCGUAAAGGGAGCGUAGGCGGGUCGUUUAGUCAGAGGUGAAAUCCCGGGGCUCAACCUCGGAACUGCCUUUGAUACUGGCGACCUUGAGUAUGGGAGAGGUAAGCGGAACUCCGAGUGUAGAGGUGAAAUUCGUAGAUAUUCGGAAGAACACCAGUGGCGAAGGCGGCUUACUGGCCCAUUACUGACGCUGAGGCUCGAAAGCGUGGGGAGCAAACAGGAUUAGAUACCCCGGUAGUCCCUGUCUCUUAUAC